CGAACGGUAACAGGAAGCAGCUUGCUGCUUCGCUGACGAGUGGCGGACGGGUGAGUAAUGUCUGGGAAGCUGCCUGAUGGAGGGGGAUAACUACUGGAAACGGUAGCUAAUACCGCAUAAUGUCGCAAGACCAAAGAGGGGGACCUUCGGGCCUCUUGCCAUCGGAUGUGCCCAGAUGGGAUUAGCUUGUUGGUGGGGUAACGGCUCACCAAGGCGACGAUCCCUAGCUGGUCUGAGAGGAUGACCAGCCACACUGGAACUGAGACACGGUCCAGACUCCUACGGGAGGCAGCAGUGGGGAAUAUUGCACAAUGGGCGCAAGCCUGAUGCAGCCAUGCCGCGUGUAUGAAGAAGGCCUUCGGGUUGUAAAGUACUUUCAGCGGGGAGGAAGGGAGUAAAGUUAAUACCUUUGCUCAUUGACGUUACCCGCAGAAGAAGCACCGGCUAACUCCGUGCCAGCAGCCGCGGUAAUACGGAGGGUGCAAGCGUUAAUCGGAAUUACUGGGCGUAAAGCGCACGCAGGCGGUUUGUUAAGUCAGAUGUGAAAUCCCCGGGCUCAACCUGGGAACUGCAUCUGAUACUGGCAAGCUUGAGUCUCGUAGAGGGGGGUAGAAUUCCAGGUGUAGCGGUGAAAUGCGUAGAGAUCUGGAGGAAUACCGGUGGCGAAGGCGGCCCCCUGGACGAAGACUGACGCUCAGGUGCGAAAGCGUGGGGAGCAAACAGGAUUAGAUACCCUGGUAGUCCACGCCGUAAACGAUGUCGACUUGGAGGUUGUGCCCUUGAGGCGUGGCUUCCGGAGCUAACGCGUUAAGUCGACCGCCUGGGGAGUACGGCCGCAAGGUUAAAACUCAAAUGAAUUGACGGGGGCCCGCACAAGCGGUGGAGCAUGUGGUUUAAUUCGAUGCAACGCGAAGAACCUUACCUGGUCUUGACAUCCACGGAAGUUUUCAGAGAUGAGAAUGUGCCUUCGGGAACCGUGAGACAGGUGCUGCAUGGCUGUCGUCAGCUCGUGUUGUGAAAUGUUGGGUUAAGUCCCGCAACGAGCGCAACCCUUAUCCUUUGUUGCCAGCGGUCCGGCCGGGAACUCAAAGGAGACUGCCAGUGAUAAACUGGAGGAAGGUGGGGAUGACGUCAAGUCAUCAUGGCCCUUACGACCAGGGCUACACACGUGCUACAAUGGCGCAUACAAAGAGAAGCGACCUCGCGAGAGCAAGCGGACCUCAUAAAGUGCGUCGUAGUCCGGAUUGGAGUCUGCAACUCGACUCCAUGAAGUCGGAAUCGCUAGUAAUCGUGGAUCAGAAUGCCACGGUGAAUACGUUCCCGGGCCUUGUACACACCGCCCGUCACACCAUGGGAGUGGGUUGCAAAAGAAGUAGGUAGCUUAACCUUCGGGAGGGCGCUUACCACUUUGUGAUUCAUGACUGGGGUGAAGUCGUAACAAGGUA
rnacentral:rRNA from 1 species